rnacentral:rRNA from 1 species
CUCAGGAUGAACGCUAGCUACAGGCUUAACACAUGCAAGUCGAGGGGCAGCAGGAUCUAGCAAUAGAUUGCUGGCGACCGGCGCACGGGUGAGUAACACGUAUCCAACCUGCCGAUAACUCGGGGAUAGCCUUUCGAAAGAAAGAUUAAUACCCGAUAGUAUAAUCAGACCGCAUGGUUUGAUUAUUAAAGAAUUUCGGUUAUCGAUGGGGAUGCGUUCCAUUAGGCAGUUGGUGAGGUAACGGCUCACCAAACCUUCGAUGGAUAGGGGUUCUGAGAGGAAGGUCCCCCACAUUGGAACUGAGACACGGUCCAAACUCCUACGGGAGGCAGCAGUGAGGAAUAUUGGUCAAUGGACGCGAGUCUGAACCAGCCAAGUAGCGUGAAGGAUGACUGCCCUAUGGGUUGUAAACUUCUUUUAUAUGGGAAUAAAGUUUUCCACGUGUGGAAUUUUGUAUGUACCAUAUGAAUAAGGAUCGGCUAACUCCGUGCCAGCAGCCGCGGUAAUACGGAGGAUCCGAGCGUUAUCCGGAUUUAUUGGGUUUAAAGGGAGCGUAGGUGGACAGUUAAGUCAGUUGUGAAAGUUUGCGGCUCCACCGUAAAAUUGCAGUUGAUACUGGCUGUCUUGAGUACAGUAGAGGUGGGCGGAAUUCGUGGUGUAGCGGUGAAAUGCUUAGAUAUCACGAAGAACUCCGAUUGCGAAGGCAGCUCACUGGACUGCAACUGACACUGAUGCUCGAAAGUGUGGGUAUCAAACAGGAUUAGAUACCCUGGUAGUCCACACAGUAAACGAUGAAUACUCGCUGUUUGCGAUAUACAGUAAGCGGCCAAGCGAAAGCAUUAAGUAUUCCACCUGGGGAGUACGCCGGCAACGGUGAAACUCAAAGGAAUUGACGGGGGCCCGCACAAGCGGAGGAACAUGUGGUUUAAUUCGAUGAUACGCGAGGAACCUUACCCGGGCUUAAAUUGCAUUUGAAUAUAUUGGAAACAGUAUAGCCGUAAGGCAAAUGUGAAGGUGCUGCAUGGUUGUCGUCAGCUCGUGCCGUGAGGUGUCGGCUUAAGUGCCAUAACGAGCGCAACCCUUAUCUUUAGUUACUAACAGGUCAUGCUGAGGACUCUAGAGAGACUGCCGUCGUAAGAUGUGAGGAAGGUGGGGAUGACGUCAAAUCAGCACGGCCCUUACGUCCGGGGCUACACACGUGUUACAAUGGGGGGUACAGAAGGCAGCUACCUGGUGACAGGAUGCUAAUCCCAAAAGCCUCUCUCAGUUCGGAUCGAAGUCUGCAACCCGACUUCGUGAAGCUGGAUUCGCUAGUAAUCGCGCAUCAGCCAUGGCGCGGUGAAUACGUUCCCGGGCCUUGUACACACCGCCCGUCAAGCCAUGAAAGCCGGGGGUACCUGAAGUACGUAACCGCAAGGAGCGUCCUAGGGUAAAACUGGUA